AUUUAAGAGACUCUUUUCCAAUUAAAAAAAUAAAAUAAAUUGUUACUAUUUGUUCCCUCUCUAAAGGGUCUCUGGUAUAGUAGACUCUUUUGUCUUCUAUUUCCAAUUUAUUAUGAAUGUCAUCUGCCAAUGAUCUUUGACCCACAUGUACCACUGAAAUUAUGUCAGUGCUUGAGGAAAAAACCACAGUAUCAUUAUUAGUUAUAAUUUUUUUCUAACUGCAUUACUAAUAUAAUAUACACUUUCUAUUCUGUGUAAAAAUUCAUAUUUUGCUAGAGGAAGUCUACAUUAAUUAAAAUAUACAAAAGACAAUGUAAGGAGAAAUCAUUUUAUCCAUAGCACUUUCAUACAUUUUAUGGUUAUAUCUUGCAACAAUAGAAUCUGUUGUGAUUUCAGCUCACAAUAUCAAAGAAUACAACAAUGAUGGCAUCCAGUAGUGUUGUGAAGAAUUGUUUUGGAUAAUUAUUUUCUGACCCAAAGUAAAAAGUUUCUCAAAUUAGACAGCCAUGAAAGUAAAAAUAAAAUGGAAUUAUAUUGAAAACGAUUAAACAUUCUCUUCUCCUUUCAAGCUUCUAAAUAAAACAACUCAAAAAUAGUACACAAAAAAGAAACUCAUUUUCAGUGUUUUUGCAUAUUUCUCAAAUAAAUAAGAUGACAUCUAGAAAAUGGAAUUGCUGUAGCAAAACUGCUUUUUGUUCUGUGAAAGCCCUUGCUUUUGUAAUUGUAAAUGAAGCUGUUUCAUCUGGUUUAUAUGCUGCUUUUCCCACUGUUGCAGCUUAGGGCAAUACGAAUGAUUAGUUGCCUGAUUCUGGAUUCAUAUAGGCUCAACUAUGAGAACUAGACUCAGGCAUUUAAAUGACUGAACUGAUGUAAGACCAUAAACCAUUCCAGACCAUUUAUACAAAUGGAACCGGCCAGGCAUUUUAUCAAAUCUCCCAUUACAGGGAAUAGCUCUGUAUUAGCUCCAUGCAAUUUUUUUACCUCUCCCAAAAUAUUGGGGAGGUGGUGCACCUCCCCAAUUAUUUGGGUAUGGUGGUGCACACCUGUAGUUCCAGCUAGUGGGGAAGCUGAGGUUGGAGGAUCACUUGAGACCAGGAUGUCAAGGCUGCAUUUUGAAAAGUUAAUAACUAAUUCCUUGUCCUAAAGAUUGCAAGAGAAAAGGAUGGGCUACAAAAAUAAAUAAAUAAAUAAAAAUAAAAAAGAUGGGCUUCUUUACUCCCUCUUAGAUAAAUGUCAACUGAUGUGGAGAAGAAAACAUGGUUGGGCAGGUGGGAGAACACCCUCAGAAAUGUACAGAUUUUACAGGAUGCUAAAGAAGUUUGGCACCUUGUCCUCCUGAGGAAAAGAAGCCUAGAAUGAGAAGAAGAGAAUCCCAGAAAAUCAAAAGAUGGAGGGAACGUCUGCUUUGAUUUCAAUAUUAUAGUCCUGAAGUGAGACUAAGCCUUGGGGAGAAGUGUCAUUUUCUGUACAUUGCUGGGCCAGUAGAUUUAAAAUGGCUCUGUACAUUUUCUAGAAAAAUGGGUCAGAUCCUCUCUGCAUGCUCCAAGAAAGUUGUGAAAGUUCUUUCAAAAUGAGACAAAGGAUUCUUUAAAAGAAGGUGCUGCACAUAGAUUGCCUAGUGUGAAAUCAGAAAAUAACCCAAUUUAAUUUUGCAGGUGACCUUAGAAAGGAAAAUGACUGUUUUAGCACUAAGCUGGGCAGUGUGUUUCAGCAAAGGCCAAGGAAGUUUGGUGCUGAUGUUUGGAGAUCAGUGGAUAUGAAGACGGAACAGCCAAUUCCAGCAUGGCUGAAGACCAAUAAUGAAUAACUUCACACUGCUUCCUCAUUGACAUAUAUACCCCUUCCGAUACAGUCCUAAAUGGAAGAAAAAAGAAUAGAAAUUAUGAAUUGAGUUUACAAUGGAAAUGACUAGGAAAUGCUGGAAGUGACUAAAUUUGGCCAGAAAUAAUCACAUUACCUUUGAUGACAUCAGGUGGAUCAGAUUUUAAAAAGAGAAUAAAUGGUUUUUCAAAAAAAAAACUUAUAUUUACUUUAAUUGUACAUUAAACAUGUACAAUCCCCUCUUCUGGCAAUUGCUAGCAACUGAGUAUAAGAUUGGGAGUGAGAAAAUUUCCCAGGAAAAAUCAGGGUCCUCACUUGGAAAUUCAAAGCAGUAAAACUAAACAAAAGCUAAAGUUCCUCUCAGUGCAAAUCAGGCAAAAAAAAAAAAAAAAUCUAGAAACAGAAGAAAGGGAAUGAAGAUUCACAGCUAAAAGACAGCAUGACCAAAUGCAAAGAAGGAUUAAAGUAAAUGGCUAUAAACAAGAAAAGAACUAUAAGGUGGUAGGAAAGGGCUUGUGAGGAGGGGAUUAGGAAAAUGUCCAGUGGAGUUACAAGGAAGACAGAUCCUGAUACUGAAACCCAUUAGAUUCAAGAUCACAGAUCCAUAAGUCCUCUAAUACCUAUAGACUAAAAUGUGAUUGGCAGACCAGUGCCAUCAUCAUGUCAGCAUCACCAGGAAGCUUGUUGGAAAUGCCAAACCUCAGGGCCCACCCUAGGCCAACUGAAUCAGACUGUGAAUUUUAACAAGAACCCUACAUGAGUCUUACAAACACUAAAGUUUGAGAAGGAAGCUGUAAUUAAUCCACAGAGGAAUGCGUGAGAAAAUAUGAAUUUAAGUUCUAUGUGAAUGGGAAUUUUGCCUGUUUUAUUUGUGGCUCUGUGAAUAGCAUCUAUAAUAUUGCCUGACACAUGGUGAGUACAUAAUAAAUAUUUGUUGAAAAAACAAUCUAUCUUAAUUCCACCUUUAUUAUUUAAAAAAUCAAAUAAAAGUACCUUCAGAGUUGAUAGUUUAGCUUUUGAAUAUGAAAGGCAGCCUUA
rnacentral:lncRNA from 1 species